rnacentral:rRNA from 1 species
UUUUGGACAAUGGGCGAAAGCCUGAUCCAGCCAUUCCGCGUGAGUGAAGAAGGCCUUCGGGUUGUAAAGCUCUUUCGCCACCCCCAGAAACGAUGCAGUCGAAUAAACUGUGUUAAUGACGGUACCUUGAUAAGAAGCACCGGCUAACUACGUGCCAGCAGCCGCGGUAAUACGUAGGGUGCGAGCGUUAAUCGGAAUUACUGGGCGUAAAGCGUGCGCAGGCGGUUCUGUAAGUCAGAUGUGAAAUCCCCGAGCUCAACUUGGGAACCGCGUUUGAAACUACAAGACUAGAAUAUGUCAGAGGGGGGUAGAAUUCCACGUGUAGCAGUGAAAUGCGUAGAGAUGUGGAGGAAUACCAAUGGCGAAGGCAGCCCCCUGGGAUAAUAUUGACGCUCAUGCGCGAAA